UCUCGCCCGCCCUCGAGGAUUUGGCCGCCCCGACUCGAGACGAUGCCGCCGACGCCGCGCCGCCCGACUCGACGCCGGCGAUCUCUCCGGCCUACUGGACUUCUCACCGGUGGUUCUCAAGCACCAAAAGAAGCAACAAUAAACAAGCUGGAGGGAUAACUUUCUCUCAGAUUCUCAAAGAUAGAUGAUCAUGACACCAAAAGAUUGAUAUAUCUGUAUGCAAAAUUAUAACUGAUCUUGAGCUAUUCCAGAAGUACUUGUGUUGCGUUAUCUUUGCUGCAAAAUUAUGUUGGGGCUGUGAUGAACUGUUGUUGCUGCGAAAGAUCAUGUUGUCAUGAUAAAUUAUGAUUCCUGGGAUU